UUCUUCUCUCUUUUUCACGAGUAAUGAACGAACCGGGGGCCGAUCAAGAACACCAGAUCUGUGUUUUCUCGUCGAUCACGCUACAGAAGGAAUAAGAGUAAGAUAGGAAGAAGAAAAAGAGGUCAUUAAGAGGAGGAUGGUGCAAACGUGUAUUCGCGCGAAGUAAAUGAAGAAAGAAGAAAGAAGAGGAAGCACGUAGCAGUUACGAAUGA
rnacentral:lncRNA from 1 species